rnacentral:rRNA from 1 species
GGUGAAGAGCUUGCAGAAGGCGCGGUAAUGCGUAUGGUCCAAGUGUUAUCCGGAUUUAUUAGGCGUAAAGCGAUGGCAGACGGUUAUUUAAGUCUGAAGUGAAAGCCGUCAGCUCAACUGAUGAAUUGCUUUGGAAACGGGAUGACGUGAGGUCAGUAGAGGAAAGUGGAACUCCAUGUGUAGCGGUGAAAUGCGUAGAUAUAUGGAAGAACACCAGUGGCGAAGGCGGCUUUCUGGACUGUAACUGACGUUGAUGCUCGAAAGUGUGGGUAGCAAACAGGAUUAGAUACCCCAGUAGUC